UAGAGUUUCCACAUGCCCUUCAUUCAGCUUCCCUGAAUGUUACCAUCUUAUAGAACCAUGGUACAUUUAUCAAAACCAAGAAAUUAGCAUUAGUAUAAUACUAUUAACUGAACUACAGAAUUUAUUCAGAUUUCCCCAGGUUUUUUCCUGCUAAUGUCUAUUUUUUGUUCCACAAUUUAAUCCAGGAUACAACGUUACAUUUAGCAGUGGAUUAUCUUCAAAUGCAGAUGGUCAGGUCUCCACACCCAGGAAGCAUGUUUUGGCCUGCACUCUGAGACCAGUGUUCGGUCCUCGACAAGGCCUAAGGGCCCAUGCCUGCUUCUGCAGCCUCAUCUCACCCUGCUCUGGGCUUCAAGUAGGAGCCACUGGGAUUUCCAAUCAUCAACAUCACCUCCUCUCCCUUCUCUCAAGCUGUUCCAUCUGUACCAACACUCUUCCCUUCUUUUUGGCCAGCUGCUUAUCCAUUCGGGCUCAGCUUACAUGUGUUACUUCCUCACAGUGGCCCACUCAGCCCUUCAGACUGGGUGAGUCUCCUGCUAUAGGCUUUGCAUACUUGGGACCACUUUAGAGACGGUUUAUUGUGCCUGAUUCACUCCCCAUUAGACUAUCAGCUCCUCUAGGGCAGGGAUCAUGCUUCUUUUGAUCUCUGCUGUAUCUCUACUAUGUAGAAUAUGCCUGGUACCUGAUAGACUUUUAAUGAAAAUGUGUCAAUUAACUCACAUCCUGUGCCACUUUCUACCAAUCACUUCCCCUCGCUGGACCUCAGUUUUCUCACCUGCAGACUGAGGAAUUUAAUUUGUUCACUGAUUUUCCAAUUGUGUUUGGAAACCCUAGAAUUUCUGGGGCUCAAGAGGAGCUACAUUUAAAGAGCAUAUGUUUUCAUGUGCUUCAAAAUUGGGCUUCUGAGAAAGAUCUCUCUUAAUGGAUUUUGAAGAUUCUGCUGCUUAAAAAGGCAGUGGUGAGCCAUUGAAGGUUUCUGAACAGGGAAGCACUUAUUGGGAGCUGUCAGAGCUGUGCUUCAGGAGAUGAAUCUGGCAACAAUACUCAGGCUGCAGGCCCAUUCAUCAGGCAUGCUGUGCAUGGGCUUCUUGCCCUGGCAUGGAGUGUGGAUGCGACGAGUUCCAUGCUCCCUCCUGGCUCCGAGACUUGAUGACUGCAAGAAUGACAGCCCGCUUGAAGAAUGGGCAGUUGGGCUCACCUUUCUCACCGACCUCAGGACUGGAGGCAUGAGGGGGGCAACUAGAAAAGAGUUCAGCCCUGGGGAAGACGCCAUCCCUAGGAAACUCUCCUCUGAGCCCUCCCUUGGCUUCCACAGGCUCUUUCAGAGAGACAGCUGUUGAGCUUGGAAAAGGCCCAAAGUCAAUACAAUAAUGACUUCCCCUCCCGGCUAUAUCCCAGGCCCCUCUGUGUCAUUCAGAAAUUGGCUAAUAAAGUUCACUUUGAUAUGAGAGGAGCCCUAUUAAGAAUUCUCCAAGAUUCCCCAAUCCCCUGAAAUCUGUCAAUAGGAGAAGAUAUGUUGGCGUGGUAUGCUGGAUGGGGGUCACCCCUUCUGUGUCCCUAGUCCUCACCCUGGGGUCAGUUGAGGCUGAGAGCAAGGGGAGAAGAAAGAAGGAGGAAUCCGUGAAGAAAGUCUGGCUAAAGUCUUAGCCAACCCCAAAAAGGACCCACCUGGCAUGGCUACCCCUUUGCCCUAACUUGACGGGCCAACCUCACCCCAGGCAGUGCUCCCAGGUUAGGUGGGAAACCACAGCACCUAAUUACUAUGAUCAUCACACUGGUGACUGUGGUGAUUAUGAUGGUGCCUCUAUCCCACAGUGCUUAGCAGUAUUUAAUUACUGUUAUUCCAAUGGAGAUCACUGCAGAGCCUUGGCUGCCAUUGCUCUUGCGGAUGGAGCAACUAUACACAGCUGCACCCACUCCUCAGUCCAAUGAUCCACCGUGUUGAAGUGCUGCCAAGAUAGUUAGCAGACACCAGCCUCUUCCUAUGGGCCAUGGUGUCCCAGGGAUCUGCAUGGCAUUUGGGGCUGGAGCUCUGAGCAGUGAGAGAAAGGCUCCAGUGCCAUCUUGAACCAUCCAACUCUCCGGAAAGAAGGGAAAUUGAUCUAUGCCCUAUGUCUAUGGUCAGAAGGCCCUCGAUAUACGCCUGUGAAUCACUGUAACCCAAAUCCUGAAGAAUUCUCAAUGUGCAUAGAGGUGGCAUUCCUGAUUAGGGAUGGGAACACUUAAAACUCAACAGUGGUACUGAGAAGAGGGUUUCAUCGAGGAUCCGCGUAGACCAGAGAGCUUAGGUCAUGAAAAUGGGAAGGGACGGAGUGGAGCUUCCGCGUGGAGCAUACCUUAUGUAGAAAGACAAAAGGAAAAGGGGCCUUGAGAAAGGAAGAUAUUCAACCUCCCACCCAUACUCUCUUUCCUUUGAUGAUGCCCUUAUAUUCAGGGGUGGGUAUUAUGGUCAGGAUAAUUAUCAGGAUGGACUACUUGUCUAGAGGAACGAGAUUUUUCUGGCAAGUUACAUGGAAACCAAGGAAUAGAAUGUAUUAUUAGGGAAGAACGGAGUUCCUGGAUCAGCCCAAGCCCAGCAGAACAAGCUCAGGGUGGACGCCUGCCUGGGAGUGGGGAGAUGAAAUAGGGGCUAUAGAGCUGGGGGUCUUACCUUUUUGGGCCUCAGACCUUUUCAGGAUCUGAUGAGCACUAUGUCUUUCCCCAAAAACUGCACAUACGCACAAGGACAGUGUCUGCAUGGCAACCUGAUGAAGCCCAGCUGGGGCCUUGAGUUAGAAUCCCUGCUGAAGAAGGAGUGCUUUGGGAGGGAGGCAGCCCUGAGCCCAGACUCCCUGUGAUCUGGGCUAAUGAAGGAUGCUAGUGACAUGGAGAGUCCCAAGCAGCGAGGAAAAUCCAAGCCAGACUUUAUAAUGUGAAGUGAAAAGAACAAGUAUUAUCCAUAGACUGCACUACAAUUCUGUAAAAAUAGGCACUUAUAAAGAGAAAAAUGUAAAGGCGACAUGGAGAAAUGAAAAUAAUUUGUGGGUGAAGAGUUUUUAUUUUA